AGAACGAACGCUGGCGGCACGCCUAACACAUGCAAGUCGAGCGCCCAGCAAUGGGAGCGGCGGACGGGUGAGUAACACGUGGGAAUAUGCCUUUCGGUACGGAACAACUCAGGGAAACUUGAGCUAAUGCCGUAUACGCCCUUACGGGGAAAGAUUUAUCGCCGAAAGAUUAGCCCGCGUCUGAUUAGCUAGUUGGUGAGGUAAUGGCUCACCAAGGCUUCGAUCAGUAGCUGGUUUGAGAGAACGACCAGCCACACUGAGACUGAGACACGGCCCAGACUCCUACGGGAGGCAGCAGUGGGGAAUCUUGGACAAUGGGGGAAACCCUGAUCCAGCGAUGCCGCGUGAGUGAUGAAGGCCUUCGGGUUGUAAAACUCUUUCGACGGGGACGAUAAUGACGGUACCCGUAGAAGAAGCUCCGGCUAACUUCGUGCCAGCAGCCGC
rnacentral:rRNA from 1 species